rnacentral:tRNA from 1 species
GGGAUAUUAGCUCAGUUGGCAGAGCACCUGACUUUUAAUCAGGUUGUCCGGGGUUCGAAUCCCCGAUGUCUCA